UUUGGAAUAUCUGAAAGGAAUUUGACUUAAAUCGAAUAGGAGAAUCUGCAAAUUCUUUCCCUUUUCCCUUAUUCUUCCUCUAUUAUCUUCCUCUCUAGUCUCUACCGUACUGAUAGUAAUGUGGACAUCAUUUGAACAGCAUGUUCAUAACAUAUCUUCUGAGGUUUUCAUUAUCCCACAUCAAGAAGAUGGAUGCGAAUAUCUUAAACUUAGCUGGAUUCACUGCUUUUUCUUUAUUGCCAUAUGCUACUAUACUACAAAGAUCUAUUUACAAAGGGGAAAUAUUGAGAUUGGCUAAAGGAGGUUUUUCAUAAUCUUUUUUUUUUUUAAACUAUUAAAGUUUUAUUUAUUAAGAGACUUGUUUAAGGUUGUGAUGUUGACGCAUUUCUGUAAUUUAAGUCUUGUCAAAAU
rnacentral:lncRNA from 1 species